rnacentral:rRNA from 1 species
AGCAGCCGCGGUAAUUCCAGCUCCAAUAGCGUAUAUUAAAGUUGUUGCAGUUAAAAAGCUCGUAGUUGAAUUUCGGGGUUAGUAGGUUGGUCGUGCCUUUGGUAUGUACUGGCCUCACUGAUUCCUCCCUCUUGAAGAACUGUAAUGUUAUUAAUUUGGUGUUGCGGGGAAUCAGGACUGUUACUUUGAAAAAAUUAGAGUGUUUAAAGCAGGCUUACGCUUGAAUACAUUAGCAUGGAAUAAUGAAAUAGGACGUUUGAUCCUAUUUUGUUGGUUUCUAGGAUUGACGUAAUGAUUAAUAGGGAUAGUUGGGGGCAUUAGUAUUCAAUUGUCAGAGGUGAAAUUCUUGGAUUUAUUGAAGACUAACUACUGCGAAAGCAUUUGCCAAGGAUGUUUUCAUUAAUCAAGAACGAAAGUUAGGGGAUCGAAGACGAUCAGAUACCGUCGUAGUCUUAACCAUAAACUAUGCCGACUAGGGAUCGGAUGAUGUUAAUUUUUUAAUGACUCAUUCGGCGCCUUA